rnacentral:rRNA from 1 species
CCUACGGGAGGCAGCAGUGGGGAAUAUUGCACAAUGGGCGCAAGCCUGAUGCAGCGACGCCGCGUGAGGGAUGACGGCCUUCGGGUUGUAAACCUCUUUCAGUAGGGAAGAAGCGAAAGUGACGGUACCUGCAGAAGAAGCGCCGGCUAACUACGUGCCAGCAGCCGCGGUAAUACGUAGGGCGCAAGCGUUAUCCGGAAUUAUUGGGCGUAAAGAGCUCGUAGGCGGUUUGUCGCGUCUGCUGUGAAAGACCGGGGCUCAACUCCGGUUCUGCAGUGGGUACGGGCAGACUAGAGUGCAGUAGGGGAGACUGGAAUUCCUGGUGUAGCGGUGAAAUGCGCAGAUAUCAGGAGGAACACCGAUGGCGAAGGCAGGUCUCUGGGCUGUAACUGACGCUGAGGAGCGAAAGCAUGGGGAGCGAACAGGAUUAGAUACCCUGGUAGUCCAUGCCGUAAACGUUGGGCACUAGGUGUGGGGGACAUUCCACGUUUUCCGCGCCGUAGCUAACGCAUUAAGUGCCCCGCCUGGGGAGUACGGCCGCAAGGCUAAAACUCAAAUGAAUUGACGG